AGCGGCGGACGGGUGAGUAAUGCUUGGGAAUCUACCUAGUAGUGGGGGAUAACGUGUGGAAACGCACGCUAAUACCGCAUACGUCCUACGGGAGAAAGCAGGGGAUCUUCGGACCUUGCGCUAUUAGAUGAGCCCAAGUCGGAUUAGCUAGUUGGUGGGGUAAUGGCUCACCAAGGCUACGAUCCGUAGCUGGUCUGAGAGGAUGAUCAGCCACACUGGGACUGAGACACGGCCCAGACUCCUACGGGAGGCAGCAGUGGGGAAUAUUGCACAAUGGGCGAAAGCCUGAUGCAGCCAUGCCGCGUGUGUGAAGAAGGCUCUAGGGUUGUAAAGCACUUUCAGUAGGGAGGAACAGCUUAAGACUAAUACUCUUGAGCCUUGACGUUACCUACAGAAGAAGCACCGGCAAACUCCGUGCCAGCAGCCGCGGUAAUACGGAGGGUGCGAGCGUUAAUCGGAAUUACUGGGCGUAAAGCGCGCGUAGGUGGUUUGAUAAGCUAGCUGUGAAAGCCCCGGGCUCAACCUGGGAACUGCAGUUAGAACUGUCUGGCUAGAGUACAGUAGAGGGUGGCGGAAUUUCCUGUGUAGCGGUGAAAUGCGUAGAUAUAGGAAGGAACAUCAGUGGCGACGCGGCCACCUGGACUGAUACUGACACUGAGUGCGAAGCGUGGGGAGCCAACCAGAAUAGAUACCCUGAUAGUCCACGCCGU
rnacentral:rRNA from 1 species